UCAACCUCUACCCCUCCUCCAGCUCCAAAGAAAGGCAGCUGAGCCACUGAGACUCCUGCAGUCACGUGCCCUGUCAUACGAUCUCUUGGGUGGAGCCCGGGGGUUGCCGGGGGUUUAUAAGGCUGAGCUCUACCUGCAGAGAUCCAGAGUUUAGGGGUUUUGCCAUCUCAUACAGACACACUACUCACCGACCACCGUCUCCGCCAUGAAGCUGCUGGUUACCUUGGCCCUGUUGGCCCUGGCACUUUCCAACUCCUGCGUACUCUCCCAGAAGUGUGCCACAAUGGCUAAUGGUCUCGACCAGCUGAUCUACGGCAGCCCCGGGGGCUUUCUGGCCUCUCUGGAUACAUGCAGGGCCAAUAAGGAUGCCUACGACGGUCUGCUGGAGAUAAAGGCUGCGUUCGACACACUUACCUCAGUGCAGAAGGAUGACUUCAGUGACCUCAUGGUGAAAGCGGUGGCCGUCUGUGAAGAAGCCAGUACCUCCAAGAACUAAAAUGUUCUCCGGAGAUGCAGUGGAAACUCCGCUUGUGGACCGUGCGUGGCUGCUGUCUGACUGAUCUCACCUGCCCUGCCCCGCUCACCGAACGCUUCUCCCACCAACAGCCCCAGAGCCUUCUCCUACUGCAUCUGAUCACAGACAAACCCUCAUGUUGCGCAGAAUUCACCCCGGUGCCGGUCGAAUUUCAAUAAACUCUACAUCACCCGA
rnacentral:lncRNA from 1 species